GCAUAUAGCUCAGGUGGUAGAGCCUGAGACUCUUUAAUCUCAGGGUUGUGGGUUCGAGUCCCAUGUUGGACA